rnacentral:rRNA from 1 species
CUACAAUGCACGCAAGUGUGAUAGGGGAAUCCCAAGUGCUCAAGCACAGCUUGGGCUUUUGCUAUGUGUAAAUAGCAUGGCGAAUAAGUGGUGGGCAAGACUGGUGCCAGCCGCCGCGGUAACACCAGCGCCACGAGUGGCAAUCACGUUUAUUGGGCCUAAAGCGUCCGUAGCAGGUUUUGUAAAUUUCUUGUGAAACUGCCAGGCUCAACUUGGCAAUGUGCAGGAAACACUGCAAAACUAGAGACCGGGAAGGGUCAGAGGUAUUCCUGAGGGAGCGGUAAAAUGCUAUAAUCUCAGGAGGACCACCGGUGGCGAAGGCGUCUGACUAGAACGGAUCUGACUGUGAGGGACGAAAGCUAGGGGAGCAAACCGG